UAAUACUGGAUAGGCAAUUAUUCCUGUAAUGGUUUUUUGUUUAAAUGUUUUUUCGCCUAAGGAUGGGUCUGCGGCCGAUUAGGUAGUUGGUUAGGUAAUGGCUUACCAAGCCUUUGAUCGGUACGGGUUGUGAGAGCAAGAGCCCGGAGAUGGAACCUGAGACAAGGUUCCAGGCCCUACGGGGUGCAGCAGGCGCGAAACCUCCGCAAUGUGAGAAAUCGCGACGGGGGGUUCCAAGUGCCAUUCUUAACGGGAUGGCUUUUCAUUAUGUAAAGAGCUUUUGGAAUAAGAGCUGGGCAGACCGGUGCCAGCCGCCGCGGUAACACCGGCAGCUCUAGUGGUAGCAGUUUUUAUUGGGCCUAAAGCGUCCGUAGCCGGUUUAAUAAGUCUCUGGUGAAAUCCUGCAGCUUAACUGUGGGAAUUGCUGGAGAUACUAUUAAACUUGAGAUCGGGAGAGGUUAGAGGUACUCCCAGGGUAGAGGUGAAAUUCUGUAAUCGCUGGGAGGGGACCCGCCUGGGUUGCGAAGGGCGUCUGACUGGGAACGAUUCUGACGGUGAGGGACGAAAGCUAGGGGCGCGAACCGGAUUAAUACCCGGGUAGUCCUACCUGUAAACGAUGCGGACUUGGUGU
rnacentral:rRNA from 1 species